UGCUUGGCAGUUGAGGUUACUAAAGGGAUCGGGUGGUCAGGGUCUCUGACUAGGUUGGCACGUGUCAUCACAUCCCAGCUACCUAGAUCAAUGCUCAUGCUGCUGAUUACUCUAUUGUAUGGUCCAGACUCGAUUAUUUACAGAUCGCCGCCAUGUAGCUAAAACGUUGCUGAGUGUGGCGUUAAUCAGCCGACCAGCAAACCAGCCUGACAUGAUCUGUGCAUCCAGAACUUCCUUGACAUCCUAGGCAUCUA